rnacentral:rRNA from 1 species
UUGAGAGCGGCGGACGGGUGAGUAAUGCCUAGGAAUCUGCCUGGUAGUGGGGGAUAACGUUCGGAAACGGACGCUAAUACCGCAUACGUCCUACGGGAGAAAGCAGGGGACCUUCGGGCCUUGCGCUAUCAGAUGAGCCUAGGUCGGAUUAGCUAGUUGGUGGGGUAAUGGCUCACCAAGGCGACGAUCCGUAACUGGUCUGAGAGGAUGAUCAGUCACACUGGAACUGAGACACGGUCCAGACUCCUACGGGAGGCAGCAGUGGGGAAUAUUGGACAAUGGGCGGAAGCCUGAUCCAGCCAUGCCGCGUGUGUGAAGAAGGUCUUCGGAUUGUAAAGCACUUUAAGUUGGGAGGAAGGGCAGUUACCUAAUACGUGAUUGUUUUGACGUUACCGACAGAAUAAGCACCGGCUAACUCUGUGCCAGCAGCCGCGGUAAUACAGAGGGUGCAAGCGUUAAUCGGAAUUACUGGGCGUAAAGCGCGCGUAGGUGGUUUGUUAAGUUGGAUGUGAAAUCCCCGGGCUCAACCUGGGAACUGCAUUCAAAACUGACUGACUAGAGUAUGGUAGAGGGUGGUGGAAUUUCCUGUGUAGCGGUGAAAUGCGUAGAUAUAGGAAG